rnacentral:tRNA from 1 species
GCCCGCAUAGCACAGUGGUAGCUGCGUCGCACUCGUAAUGCGAAGGUCGCGAGUUCAAAUCUCGCUGUGGGCU